GCUCGCUGCUCGCUCCGCUCUCGUCUCACACACUGGGGACAAAACGCAGCUUGGAGCUGAAAGAGGAGCCCAGAACACAUCCCUGCAGCCUCUGAGAUCCUCCUCACCUUCUGCCUGGCUCAUUUACUGCAAUUAAAUGCUUGUAAACAGAUUAUACCCUGAAAGCUACAUUUUCCUGCUGGGGAGGAAGCAAACUGCUCCACUGAGCAGUGGGCAGCGAGGAUAAGGAAGGAGGAACAAAUCCACCCCAAAGCCAGCAGGACGUGGGCAGCACGAGGAG